AGGGAAACGUUACUGAUAAUAACUGGAUAAGUUAGUAUAUCGCAUGAUAUGCAAAUGAAAGCUACGGCACUAAAGGAGAGCUUUGCGUCCUAUUAGCUAGUUGGUAAGGUAAGAGCUUACCAAGGCGAUGAUAGGUAGCCGGCCUGAGAGGGUGGACGGCCACAAGGGGACUGAGAUACGGCCCUUACUCCUACGGGAGGCAGCAGUC
rnacentral:rRNA from 1 species